rnacentral:ncRNA from 1 species
ACGUCUAGACAGCAUAAUGGCAACCAACUUUGUUGGUGAAUCUUGGGAAUGAGUUGCAAAUACUCAACUGUCCCCGCAACUGUGAAGGUCCACGCUUGUGGCCAAAGUCAGAUACCAAGACCGGCAAAUAUACUCUUAGCGGG